UACGUAGGGUGCAAGCGUUAAUCGGAAUUACUGGGCGUAAAGCGUGCGCAGGCGGUUUUGUAAGUCUGUCGUGAAAUCCCCGGGCUUAACCUAGGAAUGGCGAUGGAGACUGCAAGGCUAGAGUUUGGCAGAGGGGGGUAGAAUUCCACGUGUAGCAGUGAAAUGCGUAGAGAUGUGGAGGAACACCGAUGGCGAAGGCAGCCCCCUGGGUCAAAACUGACGCUCAUGCACGAAAGCGUGGGGAGCAAACAGG
rnacentral:rRNA from 1 species